UACGUAGGGACCGAGCGUUGUCCGGAAUCAUUGGGCGUAAAGAGCGUGUAGGCGGCUUGCUAAGUCUUGCGUGAAAUCUCGGGGCUCAACCCCGAGCGGUCGUGGGAAACUGGCAGGCUAGAGUGCGGGAGAGGAGAAUGGAAUUCCUGGUGUAGCGGUGAAAUGCGCAGAUAUCAGGAAGAGCACCCGUGGCGAAGGCGGUUCUCUGGAACGCAACUGACGCUGAGGCACGAAAGCGUGGGGAGCAAACAGG
rnacentral:rRNA from 1 species